GGAUGCGAUCAUACCAGCACUAAAGCACCGGAUCCCAUCAGAACUCUGAAGUUAAGCGUGCUUGGGCGAGAGUAGUACUAGGAUGGGUGACCUCCUUGGAAGUCCUCGUGUUUCAUUCC
rnacentral:rRNA from 1 species